AUUUUAUACUCGUACACGUGCUCCUCACUAAACGCAAAAAGGGAAAGGAAACGUGGAUAAGACGCUAAGCGUAUUAGUAAAAGUUGACAAGAAGUGCUUUGAUUCGUCGAAAGAACGUUGAAGGUAAGAGGCAUUAGCCAGUACAUAGAUUGAUUGCAUUCUUUCGAUUAAAGAGGAAACACACUUAUAAGCAUAAGGGUAGGAGGGAAGAAGAGAGGAAAAGUAAAACAGAAGAAGAGAGAAAAAGUAGAAGAGAAGAAGACAGAAAACAUCUUUCGUUUGCGGUUAUAUCUUAAUAAUACGUAUUUUCAUUUGAAAAAUUAGAUGUAUAUGUAUUGGAUGAGGUACUUACUUUACAACUUUUCUGUACAACAUGAUUGACUUAUCCUAUUUAUUAAAAUUCCUUGAAACAGA